rnacentral:pre_miRNA from 1 species
UGCACAUGGCUUCAACCACUAUUGUGAGCUUUGGUGCACAUUCACAAGCAUGAAAGCUCACAAUAACUAUUGUGAACUUUGGUACACAUUCACAAGUAUGAGCACCAGAGCUCACAAGAGUGGUUGGAGCCAUAUGCA